GACGAACGCUGGCGGCGUGCCUAACACAUGCAAGUCGAACGGAACUGUUUUGAAAGCUUUCUUCGGAAUGAAUUUGAUUUAGUUUAGUGGCGGACGGGUGAGUAACGCGUGAGUAACCUGCCUUCAAGAGGGGAAUAACAUUCUGAAAAGAAUGCUAAUGCCGCAUGACAUAUCGGAACCACAUGGUUUUGAUAUCAAAGAUUUUAUCGCUUGAAGAUGGACUCGCGUCCGAUUAGUUAGUUGGUGAGGUAACGGCUCACCAAGACCGCGAUCGGUAGCCGGACUGAGAGGUUGAACGGCCACAUUGGGACUGAGACACGGCCCAGACUCCUACGGGAGGCAGCAGUGGGGGAUAUUGCGCAAUGGGGGCAACCCUGACGCAGCAACGCCGCGUGAAGGAUGAAGGUUUUCGGAUUGUAAACUUCUUUUAUUAAGGACGAAAAAUGACGGUACUUAAUGAAUAAGCUCCGGCUAACUACGUG
rnacentral:rRNA from 1 species